UACGGCCACAUAACGUUGAAACACCAGUUCCCGUACGAUCACCGGAGUUAAGCAACGUGGAGCCGGUCAAUACCGAGAUGGGUGGUCACUCGAGAAUAGCAGGUACUGUAA